CUUUCUGUGCUUGCACAAGCUCCAACAACAACACUUACUGGUGUUUGCGAACAGUUAAUGACACCCACAAUUUUCUGUUUUGUGAGUUUGCAACUGGCUUCUUGGAAUAUUUUGAUAUGAACACUGAUCCCUAUCAGCUGACCAACACAGUUCACACAGUGGAAAGAGGCAUUUUGAAUCAAUUACACAUCCAGCUCAUGGAACUGCGAAGUUGUCAAGGUUACAAGCAGUGCAAUCCAAGGCCAAAGGGACUUGAAACAGGAAAUAAAGAUGGAGGAAGCUAUGAUCCACACAGGUAUCCACACUUUUUUAUUCUCCUCAGCAGCUUCUUUCCAAAUAAUUGCAUGACUCAGUCCAUUUCAACUAAUGUCUGUAUCCUGCCAUGUUGCACACAGCAUAGCUUUUGAUGCAUGCAUUUUCUAACUACCCUACACUGAACUUGGCCAUUGUAUUUUAGAUCUACCAUUCUGCAUUUAA